CUGGAUUAAACAAUUUUUAUUUUUUAAAAAGGUUCUUAAAAAAAUACUUAGAUUAUUUAAACAAACAAACAAAAAAUAAUAAUUCUUAAGACAUUACAAAAAAUAUUUGGUGCAGGAAACAACAAAAGUACAUGUAAACUUUUCUUUGAGUCAUGUGACAAUAUUUUGUUUUUCCAAAACUAUUAGCAUAUAAAGAGUUUUGCGGAACAUAUUUAAUAAGUAUUGACUGAAACUUUAUACAACUCAAGGCAACAGUUGAACACCUUUAGUAAUCUGUAAGCAAACUUAAAUGAGCGAACUCACUGUCUGGUCUUGUUCUAACUAAUCAAGGCACUGUUUCUGUGAAGUGAAGAUGUAGGACUCGCGCAAUACUGCACUCACGUCUGACAUAUCUCUACCUGAAAUAGGGCGGUUUGUUGACAGGGGCGUGGUAGGGGGCAAGAGCUAAGUUCGAAUGUUCGUAUUCGAGUGAGUUCGCGUGUGUGUAUAAGUGGUUGUUUGAUCAGGAGAAAAUAUUUGUCCUUUGACUCAGACUUGAGUCCCGGCCCCCAUGACAGUUAACUUUAGCUCAUAGAAAACAUAUAAGUUAAUAACAUAAGCAGUGGCGUAGCAAGGUAUCAGUGGGCCCGGGUUCAAGAAUAUAAUAUGUUAGUGCCCUCCCCCCCCCCCCA